rnacentral:tRNA from 1 species
GUUUUAAUAAUUUAAAAUUAAAAAAAUAUUGGUCUUGUAAACCAAAAAUGAAAUUAUUCUUAAAACU